AAAAAGAAAUACAUUUAUGAGAAAAUGUAUAAUCUUGAAUUUUCUUUGGUUUCCAUUAAACUGCCGGUGCCUCAGAAGAUUGUCAGUUUAACGUUCUAUCAGUAGUACCAUAAUUUAUUCUUUUGUUAUACCAUGAGGAUUGAAGACGAAAAGGCCCAUGCUAGCAGGAGGCACAAGAAGAGAUUAUAUAUGCAAAUAAUUCUGUAGCUCUUGUACCAGGAGAGGGUUUGUCUUGUAAUAUUUCUUUGAAGACACACAUAGAAAUCUUUGAUUGGUCUACAAAAAGCAAAAUUGUGAGGCUAAAAAGAAGAGGGAGAAAGAGAAAGAAUAUUUGAAAAGAGUAUGCAAAGCUAUGAUAAAAAGUCGGAAGAUGGAUGACAACUGCAGCAUCUUUUUUUUUUUUUUUGAGAGCUAAGAAUAGUGGGGAUGAGGGGGUGGGUAAGGCAUGCAAAGCAAUUUGGAGAAGCAAGGGAAAGAAGCAGACACCGAGGGAGAAUUUUAAAGACUUCAAAGAGCCCGAGUGGACUACCACAUCCCUGUAGCUGGCAGUCCUAUAGCUGGCGGUCCUACUUGUCCACUUCCAAACAUUGGCUCCUCUCUGAAAAGGUCACCCUGCUUUUCAGACAGAAUUUGUGACUCUCGGCAGCUGGGAAUACUUUGGAACUGAAGAGAACCUAUUAGGAGAGAGAAAAAACAGAGUCAUGAUUAAGCAAAAAAAAAAUGGAGAAAAGAUUCACCUCUAAAUUUUAUUUAAUGACAACAAAAACACACAACAUUUCUCUUUGAUUCAUAACGUUAAUAAAUUCUACUUAUCGUUUGCAAUAAUUCCAAGGUGUUCUAAAGACAUCUUUAUAUUAGAAAAGAGUUCCAUAUUAGUUUGAAUUACUUCAGGAAAGAAAUGCCCUAUUCCAC
rnacentral:lncRNA from 1 species